rnacentral:tRNA from 1 species
GGUUCUAUAGUAAUAAUAAAAACACCAAAUUGCAAAUUUGGAAAUGUGCAACUCACUAGAACUU